AUCGCUUUUCAGCCUAUCGGCUAAGAUGAAGUUUAUUAUCUGUUCUUAAUACAUCUUUAAUACUUCCACAAAAGAAGUACAAAUAUUAAACUAAUUUUUGUAAAAUGGGCGGAGAAUUCGGGGCUCACUUCAACUCCGCUGCGUGUUGUACCGGUAUUUCAGUUACCACCGGGAAUAGCCCUAUCAAU